rnacentral:rRNA from 1 species
AUGGCCGUGGCAGGAGCGUGCACGAGGAGGACGCAGGCGAAGAGUGGAGGUCGCCGGCGCGGGCGAAGGCAGCGGCAGCAUGGCAUGGCGGACGACGCUACCAGCGCAGGUGGAGGAGGAGCUGCGGGGGAGCGGCCCGAGAUGCGCAACGCGGCUCCUCUGGCCCAUGGCAGGAGGCCAUGGCGGGCAGACGGCGUAGGAGGAGAUGCUGCAGGGGCGCCGGGGUUGGCGCGGUCGGAGGCCAGGGACGCGGGGCGGAGCUUGGCGGCGUCUUCGGUAGCAGGGAGGCGCGUCCCUGGCGACCGACGUGAGGAGGAGGCCGGGGAAGGAAGGCCAUGGCACCAAGGGGAAGGAGGCGCAGAGGCAGGACUUGCCGGCGGUGGCGCCAAGGAGGUGGAGCAAGAGGCGCGGCCGCGGCCUGGCACUGCAGAGGGAGGAGCGCCAUGGGUUCGGGACGAGGAGGCGGGCUAG